rnacentral:piRNA from 1 species
UGGGAUUAAACGCAUGAACACCAUGCAUG